UACGGGGGGGGCAAGCGUUGUUCGGAAUUACUGGGCGUAAAGCGUGCGCAGGCGGCUUUGCAAGACAGAUGUGAAAUCCCCGGGCUCAACCUGGGAACUGCAUUUGUGACUGCAAGGCUAGAGUACGGUAGAGGGGGAUGGAAUUCCGCGUGUAGCAGUGAAAUGCGUAGAUAUGCGGAGGAACACCGAUGGCGAAGGCAAUCCCCUGGACCUGUACUGACGCUCAUGCACGAAAGCGUGGGGAGAAAACAGG
rnacentral:rRNA from 1 species